AUCUUGAGUGUAGGAGGGGAGAAUGGAACUUCUGGUGGAGCGGUGAAAUGCGUAGAUAUCAGAAGGAACGCCGGCGGCGAAAGCGAUUCUCUGGCCUAUUACUGACACUCAGUGUGCGAAAGCUAGGGGAGCAAACGGGAUUAGAUACCCCGGUAGUCCUAGCCGUAAACGAUGGGCACUAAGUAGUGGGAAUUACCGAUGUUCUCUCUGCCGUAGCUAACGCAUUAAGUGCCCCGCCUGGGGAGUACGGCCGCAAGGCUAAAACUCAAAAGAAUUGACGGGGGCUCGCACAAGCGGUGGAGCAUGUGGCUUAAUUCGAUGCAACGCGAAAAACCUUACCGGGGCUUGACAUGUUAGAAGUAGGAACCUGAAAGGGUAACGAACGGUAUCCAGUCCGUAGCUAUCACAGGUGUUGCAUGGCUGUCGUCAGCUCGUGUCGUGAGACGUUGGGUUAAGUCCCCUAACGAGCGAAACCCUUGUUUUUAGUUACCAGCGGGUUGUGCCGGGUACUCUAGAAAGACUGCCGUCGUCAAGACGGAGGAAGGUGGGGAUGACGUCAAGUCAUCAUGGCCCUUAUGCCCCGGGCUGCACACGCGCUACAAUGGUCGGUACAAACGGAAGCGAAGCCGAGAGGUGAAGCGAAUCCAAGC
rnacentral:rRNA from 1 species